rnacentral:rRNA from 1 species
UCCCGCAACGAGCGCAACCCCUUAUUUUUAGUUCUAUUGUCUAAAAAGACUGCCGGUGAUAAACCGGAGGAAGGUGAGGACGACGUCAAGUCAUCAUGCCCCUUACACCCUGGGCUACACACGUCCUACAAUGGGUAAGACAAUAAGUUGCAAAUCCGCGAGGACAAGCUAAUCUUUCAAACUUACUCCAAGUACAGAUUGCAGGCUGCAACUCGCCUGCAUGAAGGUGGAAUCACUAGUAAUCGCUGGUCAGCUACACAGCGGUGAAUUCGUUCCCGGGCCUUGUACACACCGCCCGUCACACCAUGGAAGCUGGUUGUACCCGAAGUCGUUAUCCUAACCGUAAGGAAGGAGAUGCCGAAGGUAAAAUUAGUGACCGAGGUGAAGUCGUAACAAGGUAGAGCUCUCAGUCAGUG